rnacentral:misc_RNA from 1 species
GCUCCGUUGGUGAACCAGCGGAGGGAUCAUUACAGGACUCGCAAGACUCCUUCACCCUGUGAACCUCACUACAAGCACGUUGCUUCGGCGGGUGUCCCGGCGGGGGUUUUCCCUCGCCGGGGCGCACAGCCCGCCGGCAGCCUACUAUACUCUGUCUCUUUGCGUUGGCAUCUCGAGAAAAAACAAACAAGUUAAAACUUUCAACAACGGAUCUCUUGGUUCUG